AUUAACUCUGAUCAAAUAUUGACUCGGCAAAGAGAUGUUAAAAAUCAUGGCUGAUGAUUACGUCAUUGCAAUGCAUUGUGGGAUGCCUUGCAUUAAGUACAUUCUGAAUAAAGCCACAUCCUCAGCCAAAAGAAGACACCGGGACCACUGGAUUAAAAAACAUACAACCAAAAGUGUUUAUUAGUUUUGUCCUGUCUGGAACCUAGGAGCACAUCUCUCAGGUCAAAGGUCAUAGCGCUUCCCUGGGUCAUGGGUCCCAGCCGGUGUGGGGUCAGACAGGGAGGAGAUAAGGUGGGUGGGAGCAGGUCACACAGGAUGGCACAGAGUGAGACACACACACACACACACACACACACACACACACGCAAAUUCAUUUCUUAAACAACUCACUACAAACCUGUAUUAGUCUGUUGUAAUACACCACCACAUAAAACAAGUGAUGCGGUGAAGUUCAAACAGCCAAAGAAAGUGGCAGAGAAGAUGAGAAGUUCAUCUGGCA